rnacentral:lncRNA from 1 species
AUCCUCAAAGGAACCGGAGUUCCUGCCACGACCUAUUCUUGGCUAUGGAAGGACAUAAUAGACCCCCACGUGGCAUUCCACAAGGCUUGGGGUCAUGUAUUGAGAGUCCCGCUUCUGCUCUUCUCUGCACUCGGCCACCUUGGCUCGGAAGGAAGCUGCUGGGGACCGGCCUGCUGCAACCCACCUCAGAAUCUCUUUCGGACCUCAGCUGCCCCAACCCUAAAAUGGGUAGGGAGAUAAAAAUCUGGGACUCCGGCCAGGUGCGGUGGCUCAUGCCUGUAAUCCCAGCACUUUGGGAGGCCGAGGUGGGUGGAUCACUUGAGGUCAGGAGUUUGAGACCAGCCUGGCCAACAUGGUGAAAUCCCGUCUGUACUAAAAAUACAAAAAGUAGCCUGGCG